AAAAAAACGUUAAUAGCAAAAACAAAAGAGAAAAUAUGAUGAAUAACAUAAAUCAAAGUUUUUGGUGUCAGUCGAAUUUUAAUUUGCGGGUUGAGUGGGCCAACUUUUAUUUAAAUACAUAUUUAUUUUGUGCAGUAAAUGAAUUUCGGGAUGGAUUCAAAUUAUUUUUAAAUUUUAUAUCAACUGCAUCAAUAGCUCAAAUUUACCCCAAAUUCCAAUGAGAGUAGGUAUCUGCAUUCCAUACGAGAACAUCCACGAGAACAGGAUCAUCAAGGCUAUGUUGUGUUUUCUGUAAACGCGGCCGUACCAACUGUGUUAUAAGCGCUAUGCUUAAUAAGGAUACGCCGACGUUUCCGUAUCGGAGAAACGGUACUAGCUUGCAGAGGGCGACCCCAUGAGACCAGGUUCUAGUCCAGAACCCGGAUAUGGCGAACGGUAAUACCAUGGCGCAGAACAAGAAGUCAGCUAUACAUAAACUGAAAAAGAAAAUCAUUUUAUGUAGAGUCUUCGUUGAAUUCAAACGUGAUUCGCGGUAGGAAAUAAAAAAGUAUAACUUUAAAUUAAAUAAUUAUUUGCAUUUCAAAUAAGUGUUAGAUUGUGUUGAAAAAAUUUAGGCUUAAUCACAAUACCAGGGACAUAGUUAAGACUCUGCCUACCGCGGAUUCACGAUGGUAUAGUUAAGUUAAUGAUGAGAAAAUAUACGUUGAUGAGAAAAGCAUUAUAAUGAACCACAGUGAUUCAAGGUAGUAAGGAUAUAAUUGUUUUAAAAUAUAUGACCCUUAUUUUAU